UAGCAUGGUUUUUGAAGCUUUUGUCGCCGAUCCAUACUUGCAUUUCCAGCAAACUUGAGCCAGUAGAGAGUUUUUCAGUUACAUUUUAUGGCCGCCAAAAACGCGACCAUAGGCUUACUUAUGGCUUAUAUGCAGGCGUUAGUGUUAUUAUUGCGGAAACCCCUCUCCGUUCGUAGCCUGGGUACCAGAGGCUCCAAUAAGCGGCGAAUCUUUUAGUCGUUUCCAUCUCUGCCUCCAGUGUUUCUGUGAAUCUUGACUUUAAUGCCGGUAAUGCCCCGUGGACGAGUAAGCUUGCCUUCGCAGUGUCGUACCCAGACGCCGCGCGAUGCAUGACGGUCAGGAUGCGGUUUCGGGGCCGAAACUCGCUUGACGUCUGGCAGAACUCAGGAAAUAUCUUGCAAGUUUUUCAAAUAUCUUGCAAGCAGCGUCUUUAUGACCGUUUUUUUUUUUACUUUUUUUGCGCACAAGUCCAAGGGCCUACCUACACACACUCGUGGUAAACCAUUUAGUUUUAUUUUCGGUGGUUCCCUGUUCAAUUAGACGAUAUUUUCGUUUCGUAAAACGCAAGACGGCGGACGACACUGGUGAACUCGAUACAUCAUUUCAUGAAAUGAAUUUGGAUGGUCUGACUGUUCUGGCACUCAUUUGAACUCAUACUGCUCUGGUUGGAUUGUAUUUAUCACAAAUAUACACUUUCAGAUAUAUAAUUCGAGCACAUACUGUCUUUAUGUUCCCUAGAAGAAGCUCAAUAGCGAGGGAGUCACUAUUCGCACAUGACCUUACGCCGAAUUCCAAACUCCAGGAAAGUAUUUAGGCUAUUUCUGCAGUUAUCAUGUGCACAUGGAAUUUUACAGGCAAGAAAUGCAGUAUGGAUGGGUCCUUCUUCGUCUGUGAAAAUUCGUAACAUUUUUGCUCGCCGAUUUCGUCCGCCAUCUUGGAUCUGUAAUCUGCCAGUCGUUAUUUUUUUUUUUGUCCUCGCUUCAGGAUUCCUGUGGAUGUCCACGCAACAGCAGAUACGACUGGGUACGAGUCUGUUGCCUUCGCUCUCCUCUCUAGUUGUCGAACGCAGUUUAUGCAAAUUACAGACAGGAUUUUAUUGUAUCCGAGAGAACCUUCAGCUCGAUAAACGCUCUACAAACUUCUCCUUUUUAGCUCUUGUUUCAGAAAACAAAUUGAAAUGACCUAGAACACGCUUCGAUUUAAUGUUGCUGCACACUCGAUCAAAAUUAUUUUGAUUAAAUACAGUUGAUCAUAAUUAUUUUGAUUAAAUACAGUUUUUGCGGAGUUCACUGUAUCCAAAAGUGACAUACCGGAGCGAAACUUGUACGGGCAUGUAGGUUUUGUCAAGUAAUCUGAGACGUCGCCAGCACCAUAGUGAGGCUGGCCAUCCGUUGCACCAAAGGCUCUUUCGCUUCGCUCAAAUCGUCGUCGAGCCUCUAGUGAUCGGGUGUAGCGUUGCAGAAUGGUCCUCGUUGCAGAAGUGUCUAACCAAUCAGAUUGUCUCUUGUAUCUCCCAUACCGUCCAUCCAAUCAAAGUGCCUUGUGAUCGUGUCUUGUACCUCGUGGAGAUCGUGCCAAGGGGAGAUCGUUCAUAUUGUCGUGUUGGGAUUGUUAACUUUGUGAAUCACUUUUUCAGCAUUUACCUUUAUUCAAGGCUUGAAUGGCAGAAUAACCAGGAGACAUACAAGGUCUUAAUGGUGGCAGCAACCGAUUAUGAGCCAUAGCAAGAUUCAAACAAUGACAACAUGCAAGUGAGCACCAUCGCCUGAUCCAAGUGCCAACUGUGCCAGAAUGUGAACUUUUAUUGGAUCUGUAUCGUACAGUGAAAAAACGUUGUUUGAGAAGCUAAUCAUCCACCUUUUAACUGUGGUGGCGAGUAUUGAGAUUGCAGAUGUAACACAUCAUUUGAUUGUGACCUUGACACAGCUUGAUAUCGAAUCAGUACAAAAAGGGUGCAAGUGCAUAUAGUACAAAUGAAAACCCCCCAGCUUUCUGGUCUGUCUGAAGUUGAUCAGCCAAACUGUGACUUGCUUAAGCUGGCAAUAAUGAAUCAGGUGGUUCCUGAUGAUACCCCCUGGUGAACCAGGUUAAUAUCCCUACCAUUUUCUGUUAUUAAAAAUGUAGAAAAUGGAUAGGGAGGGGACCAGUAACCUUGCGUUGUCUCUUUUUAUGUUUUAUUUUAAGACUCCACAACCAUACGUAGUAAACUGUAUGUCCGAUCGGGUCUUAUGGAGGUAAAUGACAGAGGAUCGUGUGACAGCAGUACCGGAGAUAUGCUUUAAAUAUGAAUAGAGUCUAGUGGCAAAGUUUAACUAGCGCAGAUUUGUGUAGUAAAUAAAUACAGUUGUACUUUGAGUUGAAAUGUCAUUUGUUCUGUUCCUUGUUUAGUUCUUUAUAAAUUCAGUUUAUAACCUUUA